AGAGUGUUGUGCUUUACUGAAAAGUUUCAGCUAGCAUACAUAUUUGCUUUGGUCCUUGCUGAAAUUCCCUUUUAAACGUUGAGGUUAAACUAGGUAGUUGUGAGGAAUUCUUGAAACAAGUCUAGGACAAGGAUAUUAAUGAUGAAUUUACAGCCUAAUUUUUUUUUGAAAAUGGUAACGAUGAUGAAUUUACAGCCUAAUUGUUAUUCAUUCAGAUGAACUUCCCAUCUGGCCUAGCCCUAGGGGACCGAGUUACUUGGUACUUGUUGAUGUUGUUGGUAGGAGGUGGAAGGUAUUCC
rnacentral:lncRNA from 1 species